rnacentral:rRNA from 1 species
CCUACGGGCGGCUGCAGUAGGGAAUAUUGCUCAAUGGGGGAAACCCUGAUGCAGCAACGCCGCGUGGAGGAUGAAGGGUUUCGGAUUGUAAACUCCUUUUGUUAGAGAAGAUAAUGACGGUAUCUAACGAAUAAGCACCGGCUAACUCCGUGCCAGCAGCCGCGGUAAUACGGAGGGUGCAAGCGUUACUCGGAAUCACUGGGUGUAAAGAGCGCGUAGGCGGGAAAGCAAGUCAGAUGUGAAAUCCUAUGGCUUAACCAUAGAACUGCAUUUGAAACUGUUAGUCUGGAGUGUGGGAGGGGUAGGUGGAAUUCUUGGUGUAGGGGUAAAAUCCGUAGAGAUCAGGAGGAAUACUGAUUGCGAAGGCGGCCUGCUGGAACGUAACUGACGCUGAUGCGCGAAAGCGUGGGGAGCAAACAGGAUUAGAUACCCCGGUAGUC